GCAAGUCGAGCGGAAACGAGAAGUAGCUUGCUACUUCGGCGUCGAGCGGCGGACGGGUGAGUAAUGCUUGGGAACAUGCCUUGAGGUGGGGGACAACAGUUGGAAACGACUGCUAAUACCGCAUAACGUCUACGGACCAAAGGGGGGGAUCUUCGGACCUCUCGCUCAUUGAUUAGCCCAAGUGAGAUUAGCUAGUUGGUAAGGUAAUUGCUUACCAAGGCGACGAUCUCUAGCUGGUUUGAGAGGAUGAUC
rnacentral:rRNA from 1 species